AGUCUGUUCAGAAACUGCUCUCCGGGGUCAAUUUCAACCAUCGUGUUUAAAUACUAUUGGCUGAGCAGCCUGUGCAUCACUGAACAGAAGCAGUCCUAUUGGGUCACAUCGGCAUCACUGACACCAGGCUGUUCCCCAGUGAGGAAGGAUGGCUGAUCAGAGGAACAAAAGCAAAACACUACAUGGAGAAACAAGGCUUCCAUCUCUAAGGCAAUUCUCAAUAAAUUGCCACACAAUUUGAAAUGGAAUAUUAAUUCAACUGGAAAGGUCGUUACAUGCAAUCUCUGGCCACCCAACCUCUUCCAAGUUCGGAAUGUUUGCCUGGAGCAUCCGGAAUGUGAUAAUGACUCUCUUUCUGGCGAUCCUGGACACUCACUUCAGUGUGUAUCUUUAACACUGAUUCUGCAAAUAUGUGUAACCUGUUUUAAAAUUAUUUGUAAGCCUUUGCAAAUCUACAUUGUUCUGAAAGCCAACACCUA